AGCUGGCUCAGGCUUACCAUGCAAGUCGCGGGGCAGCAUGUCGGUUGCUUGCAACCGAUGAUGGCGACCGGCGCACGGGUGAGUAACGCGUAUCCAACCUACCCCUUAGUAGGGGAUAGCCCGGCGAAAGUCGGAUUAAUACCCUAUGUUCUCCGUAGAAGACAUCUGAAAUGGAGCAAAGGCUUUCCGCUAAGGGAUGGGGAUGCGUCCGAUUAGUUUGUUGGCGGGGCGACGGCCCACCAAGGCUACGAUCGGUAGGGGUUCUGAGAGGAAGGUCCCCCACACUGGUACUGAGACACGGACCAGACUCCUACGGGAGGCAGCAGUGAGGAAUAUUGGUCAAUGGGCGUAAGCCUGAACCAGCCAAGUAGCGUGCAGGAUGACGGCCCUACGGGUUGUAAACUGCUUUUAUGCGGGGAUAAAGUGCAGCACGUGUGCUGUUUUGCAGGUACCGCAUGAAUAAGGACCGGCUAAUUCCGUGCCAGCAGCCGCGGUAAU
rnacentral:rRNA from 1 species